GGCGUCAUGGUCCAAUGGUACGAUACGUGCUUCGGGUGCACGUGACCCGAGUUCGAUUCUCGGUGACGCCC
rfam:chromosome X of strain GB-M1 of Encephalitozoon cuniculi (Microspora)